UGGGGGGGGCGGGGGCUUCAUGUCGCUGAGGACCCCCCCGCAAGCGUCGUCCUGGACGCGAUUUGAAGCUUCUCAGAACCCAACACGAUCACAAUCUGACAAAAAAACAAGGAGGGGGUGGGGGGGAGACAUCUUCGGGAUCGACUGGGUACGG
rnacentral:ribozyme from 1 species